UAUUGCACAAUGGGGGAAACCCUGAUGCAGCAACGCCGCGUGAGUGAAGAAGUAUUUUGGUGUGUAAAGCUCUAUCAGCAGGGAAGCGAAUGACGGUACCUGACUUAGAAGCCCCGGCUAACUACGUGCUAGCAGCCGCGGUAAUACGAAGGGGGCGAGCGUUAUCCGGAUUUACUGGGUGUAAAGGGAGCGUAGACGGUUCUGCAAGUCUGAAGUGAAAGCCCGUGGGUUAACCGCGGAACGGCUUUGGAAACUGUGGAACUGGAGUGCUGGAGAGGCAAGCGGAAUUCCUAGUGUAGCGGUGAAAUGCGUAGAUAUUAGGAGGAACACCAGUGGCGAAGGCGGCUUGCUGGACAGUAACUGACGUUGAGGCUCGAAAGCGUGGGGAGCAA
rnacentral:rRNA from 1 species